rnacentral:rRNA from 1 species
GAUGAACGCUGGCGGCGUGCCUAAUACAUGCCAGUCAAGCGAACAGACGAGGAGCUUGCUCCUCUGACGUUAGCGGCGGACGGGUGAGUAACACGUGGAUAACCUACCUAUAAGACUGGGAUAACUUCGGGAAACCGGAGCUAAUACCGGAUAAUAUAUUGAACCGCAUGGUUCAAUAGUGAAAGACGGUUUUGCUGUCACUUAUAGAUGGAUCCGCGCCGCAUUAGCUAGUUGGUAAGGUAACGGCUUACCAAGGCGACGAUGCGUAGCCGACCUGAGAGGGUGAUCGGCCACACUGGAACUGAGACACGGUCCAGACUCCUACGGGAGGCAGCAGUAGGGAAUCUUCCGCAAUGGGCGAAAGCCUGACGGAGCAACGCCGCGUGAGUGAUGAAGGUCUUCGGAUCGUAAAACUCUGUUAUUAGGGAAGAACAAAUGUGUAAGUAACUAUGCACGUCUUGACGGUACCUAAUCAGAAAGCCACGGCUAACUACGUG